rfam:Picea glauca, whole genome shotgun sequence.
CCAUGCCUACAACAUAGCGUUAAUGCACCAGAUCCCAUUAUAACUCCAUAGUUAAGCACGCUCGGGCUAGAGUAGUACUCGGACAGGUGACCACUCGAGAAGUCCUAGUUUUUUACAUUCC